rnacentral:rRNA from 1 species
UACGAAGGGGGCUAGCGUUGCUCGGAAUCACUGGGCGUAAAGCGCACGUAGGCGGCUCUUUAAGUCAGGGGUGAAAUCCUGGAGCUCAACUCCAGAACUGCCUUUGAUACUGGGGAUCUCGAGUCCGGAAGAGGUAAGUGGAAUUCCGAGUGUAGAGGUGAAAUUCGUAGAUAUUCGGAAGAACACCAGUGGCGAAGGCGACUUACUGGACACAUAUUGACGCUGAGGUGCGAAAGCGUGGGGAGCAAACAGG